UGGGAUAUAGCUCAAUGGUAGAGCACUUACCUAGCAUGCAUGAGGCCCUGAAUUCAAUCCCUAAUAUCCCUU
rnacentral:tRNA from 1 species